AAGGAUGGGAAAUAGGUAGCAGUGCCUUGCCUAUUCAUCUCUUUGCAGCUUGCAGAUACAGCUUGCAGAUAGCACUUCCGUCCAGAUACAGCCAAGAGAAAUAGGGAAAGGAUGCUGGAGACUGAAGGACAGGGCCAGCCCACCCAUGAGACAAGAUGAAGCGGCUGCCUCAGGCGGCAAGAAACACUGAGGCAGCAGAUCGAAAUCUGGUGGUUUAAGAAGAAGCCCCUUGGGCUAUGCACCAGAUCCAGCCAGAUCCCAGAUCCUGAACCAAAUAGAGCUGAUUCAAAUUUCCCUGGAAUUUGGCCAGAGCAGAAAGGAUCGGUCGAGAGAUAUGGUACUGUCUCCUUGGAAGGCAUCACAGUUUGGAUCUUCAGUUCCUGGAUGAAGAACAUGUGUGGGGAUGUCAAAAGGAGCAGGAAGCUGCUGACUUGGGGCAGUUGAGAGGAACUGGCUUUGCCAACCCUGCCAUUGGGGCUCUAGGCCUUGAGAACAUGAAUAUCUUUUACAGAUUGUUCUAUUUUGAAAGAAAACUACAUGAAAAUGAUGUAUAGAUGG